rnacentral:lncRNA from 1 species
AUCAUUCCUCACCACAGGCUGUACUGCAUAGGGGAGAUAGAAAGUAUAGACCUCCCCACCCCCUCCCUGAACAACUCACUUAUUCCUCUCCUCUUAUAUGCUGAUGACGCUGUCCUUCUAUCUCUCUCUAAGCGCGGUCUCCGCAAGCUGCUCUUAACUUUCCAAGAGUACUGCCUCAUAAACCAUUUAUCUAUUAAUUCUGAGAAGACAAAAAUUCUAGUCUUCUCCAAAUCAUGGACUCCAUCCCAAUGGAAAAUACUAAACCUUAGCUUUCAGCAAGUACCAUCUUUCAAGUACCUCGGAGUUACAUUCCACUACCGUCAUUCUUGGUUACUCCAUCGUAAAUCUGCCAUAUCCUCAGCUCUUCUAUCUCAAAACGCCAUAGCUAGAUUUUUCUUUAACAAAGGCAAUCAGUUCAUCCCUGCUGCUCUUCAGGCAUUUAAACUCAAAUCCAUUCCUCAAUUACUGUACGGAGCACCUGUUUGGAUCGAAGUCGCCAAUUCCGAACUGGACCGCCCAAUCUCUAGAUUUCUCCGCAAGAUCUUGGGGAUUCCCAACCUAAUUAGACUGUCUACGAUCGUUUCAGAACUAGGUAUCCAUCUUCCCUCCACUUCUGCCUGGAUUUCCACCUUCAAAUUUUGGUUGAAACUCCAUCUCAAUUCUCACCCAACCUCCAUUCUAUACGACCUUAUCCAAGACUCUCACAUAUCAAACUGGUUUAAACUAGUAGACGCCAAACUUUCCACCCUUGACCUAUCCCCUGAAAUCUUGGCUGACCUCGACCUUUCAAAAGCCUACCUCAUCAUUAAGUCCAAAUUACUGGAACAAGAAACUCGAACCCUCCUAUCAAACCUCAAUCCCACCUGUUCACCAUCCUACUUCGGGCUCCCCCCCUUAAUGGGCCGCCCAGCUAGUUACCUUUUUCACCUGACAGACCCAAGGAAAAGGAGGGCCUUCCUUCUUGCUCGUUUUAACAUCUUCCCGUCUGCUUACCAUCUUGGUAGAUAUUCCAAUACUCCCCGACCAAACAGACUAUGCACAUUCUGCUCCCGUGAACCAGACACAGUAGCCCACAUCUUACUUCGUUGCCCCUCCCACUCCGCCCUUAGAUCUUCCCUACUAAACCCCUUUCUCCUAACCCUCCCUCCUGCCCUUUCUGAUCCCCUUCCAAUCCUCCUUAGUGACUCCCUUCCAACUACUACCUAUCUCGUGGCGGAAUUUCUGU